rnacentral:rRNA from 1 species
GACUACUAGGGUAUCUAAUCCCAUUCGCUACCCACGCUUUCGUACCUGAGCGUCAGAACUGUCCCAGUAAGCUGCUUUCGCUUUUGGUGUUCCUGCUGAUAUUAACGGAUUUAACCCCUACACCAGCAAUUCCGCUUACCUCUUCCAGUCUCUAGUUUAUCCAUAUCUCCUGCAGCCCCAAGGUUGAGCCUUGGGAUUUAACAAGAGAUGUUACAAACCGCCUACGUACGCUUUACGCCCAAUAAAUCCGGAUAACGCUUGGGGUACUCGUAUUACCGCUGCUGCUGGCACGAGUUUAGCAACCCCUUAUUCAUUUGGUACCGUCAUAGUUCUUCCCAAAUAAAAGCAGUUUACACUUCGAAAAGCUUCUUCCUGCACGCGAUGUCGCUCCUUCAGCCUUUCGGCCAUUGAGGAAUAUUCUCGACUGCAGCCACCCGUAGG